rnacentral:rRNA from 1 species
GGAUACAAGCGUUAUCCGGAAUGAUUGGGCGUAAAGCGUCCGCAGGUGGCAGUUCAAGUCUGCUGUCAAAGACCGGGGCUUAACUUCGGAAAGGCAGUGGAAACUGAACAGCUAGAGUAUGGUAGGGGCAGAGGGAAUUCCUGGUGUAGCGGUGAAAUGCGUAGAGAUCAGGAAGAACAUCGGUGGCGAAGGCGCUCUGCUGGACCAUAACUGACACUCAGGGACGAAAGCUAGGGGAGCGAAUGGG